UACAGAGGGUGCGAGCGUUAAUCGGAAUUACUGGGCGUAAAGCGCGCGUAGGCGGCUUUGCAAGUCGAGUGUGAAAUCCCCAGGCUUAACCUGGGAACUGCAUUCGAGACUGCAUAGCUAGAGUAUGGGAGAGGGAAGUGGAAUUUCAGGUGUAGCGGUGAAAUGCGUAGAUAUCUGAGGAAGACAGCGCGAAGCGAGCUCUCGACCAUGCGUACG
rnacentral:rRNA from 1 species